rnacentral:rRNA from 1 species
GAUGAACGCUGGCGGCGUGCCUAAUACAUGCAAGUCGAGCGAACAGAUAAGGAGCUUGCUCCUUUGACGUUAGCGGCGGACGGGUGAGUCACACGUGGGUAACCUCCCUAUAAGACUGGGAUAACUUCGGGAAACCGGAGCUAAUACCGGAUAAUAUUUCGAACCGCAUGGUUCGAUAGUGAAAGAUGGUUUUGCUAUCACUUAUAGAUGGACCCGCGCCGUAUUAGCUAGUUGGUAGGGUAAAGGCUUACCAAGGCGACGAUACGUAGCCGACCUGAGAGGGUGAUCGGCCACACUGGAACGGAGACACGGUCCAUAGUCCUGCGGGAGGCAGCAGUAGGGAAUCUUCCGCAAUGGGCGAAAACCUGGCGGAGCAACGCCGCGUGAGUGAUAAAGGUCUUCGGAUCGGAAAACUCUGUUAUUAGGGAAGAACAUACGUGUAAGUAACUGUGCACGUCUUGACGGUAACUAGUCAGAAAGCCACGGCUAACUACGUG